GGGGACCUUCGGGCCUCUCGCGUCAAGAUAUGCCUAGGUGGGAUUAGCUAGUUGGUGAGGUAAGGGCUCACCAAGGCGACGAUCCCUAGCUGGUCUGAGAGGAUGAUCAGCCACACUGGAACUGAGACACGGUCCAGACUCCUACGGGAGGCAGCAGUGGGGAAUAUUGCACAAUGGGCGCAAGCCUGAUGCAGCCAUGCCGCGUGUGUGAAGAAGGCCUUCGGGUUGUAAAGCACUUUCAGUCGUGAGGAAGGUAGUGUAGUUAAUAGCUGCAUUAUUUGACGUUAGCGACAGAAGAAGCACCGGCUAACUCCGUGCCAGCAGCCGCGGUAAUACGGAGGGUGCGAGCGUUAAUCGGAAUUACUGGGCGUAAAGCGCAUGCAGGUGGUUUGUUAAGUCAGAUGUGAAAGCCCGGGGCUCAACCUCGGAAUUGCAUUUGAAACUGGCAGACUAGAGUACUGUAGAGGGGGGUAGAAUUUCAGGUGUAGCGGUGAAAUGCGUAGAGAUCUGAAGGAAUACCGGUGGCGAAGGCGGCCCCCUGGACAGAUACUGACACUCAGAUGCGAAAGCGUGGGGAGCAAACAGGAUUAGAUACCCUGGUAGUCCACGCCGUAAACGAUGUCUACUUGGAGGUUGUGGCCUUGAGCCGUGGCUUUCGGAGCUAACGCGUUAAGUAGACCGCCUGGGGAGUACGGUCGCAAGAUUAAAACUCAAAUGAAUUGACGGGGGGCCCGCACAAGCGGUGGAGCAUGUGGUUUAAUUCGAUGCAACGCGAAGAACCUUACCUACUCUUGACAUCCAGAGAACUUUCCAGAGAUGGAUUGGUGCCUUCGGGAACUCUGAGACAGGUGCUGCAUGGCUGUCGUCAGCUCGUGUUGUGAAAUGUUGGGUUAA
rnacentral:rRNA from 1 species